AGAGUUUGAUCAUGGCUCCGGAUGAACGCUAGCGGCAGGCUUAACACAUGCAAGUCGAGGGGUAUAGUUCUUCGGAAUUAGAGACCGGCGCACGGGUGCGUAACGCGUAUGCAAUCUACCUUUCACAAAGGGAUAGCCCAGAGAAAUUUGGAUUAAUACCUUAUAGUAUAGCGACUUCGCAUGGAGAUGUUAUUAAAGAUUUAUCGGUGAAAGAUGAGCAUGCGUCCCAUUAGCUAGUUGGUAAGGUAACGGCUUACCAAGGCUACGAUGGGUAGGGGUCCUGAGAGGGAGAUCCCCCACACUGGUACUGAGACACGGACCAGACUCCUACGGGAGGCAGCAGUGAGGAAUAUUGGUCAAUGGGCGCAAGCCUGAACCAGCCAUGCCGCGUGCAGGAUGACGGUCCUAUGGAUUGUAAACUGCUUUUGUACAGGAAGAAACACUCGGACGUGUCCGAGCUUGACGGUACUGUAAGAAUAAGGAUCGGCUAACUCCGUGCCAGCAGCCGCGGUAAUACGGAGGAUCCAAGCGUUAUCCGGAAUCAUUGGGUUUAAAGGGUCCGUAGGCGGCUUAAUAAGUCAGUGGUGAAAUCCCUACGCUUAACGUAGGAACGGCCAUUGAUACUGUUAGGCUUGAAUUAUUAGGAAGUAACUAGAAUAUGUAGUGUAGCGGUGAAAUGCUUAGAGAUUACAUGGAAUACCAAUUGCGAAGGCAGGUUACUACUAAUUGAUUGACGCUGAUGGACGAAAGCGUGGGUAGCGAACAGGAUUAGAUACCCUGGUAGUCCACGCCGUAAACGAUGGAUACUAGCUGUUGGGAGCAAUCUCAGUGGCUAAGCGAAAGUGAUAAGUAUCCCACCUGGGGAGUACGUUCGCAAGAAUGAAACUCAAAGGAAUUGACGGGGGCCCGCACAAGCGGUGGAG
rnacentral:rRNA from 1 species